UUAAUUUGUUAUGAAAUAUGAAGGUUAUUUAUCUCUUCCUCUACCAUUUUAUUAAGAAAUCAUAUUAGAAGCAUAUGAGCAGGUUACCCUUUGCACAGUGCUCUAGAUUGUUGUAUAGAUAAGUUGAGGACACUUCCAUUUUUCACUUUCCUUUAUUAGGAUAUCAUCCUUUGGGUGCUUUCCAGUCUACCAGUGAAUGACAAACACUGCUAUAUCGAGAGUGUGAGAAAUUGAAUACCAUACAAGUUGUCAGACAUCUAAGACAGAAGAUCCCUGCAAGCAGUGAGGAGAGAUUGGAUACAUUCAUUGGAAUUACAGUCGUGACAAGCAAUAGGGCUGCCACUGAAGACAACCUUUGUCUGCUUGUUAGUGAAAAACAAAAAAGGAGGGAAGAGAAUGGAGGUUGUGAUGUGAUAAGAAGGCAACGAAGAGCUGGAAGCAAACACCAACAACAGAUAAACGACAUGAUUCAAAAACAAAGGGUUUAAAGACACCAGAGUUGUGAUACCAGAUGCUAAGAUACAGAGAGGACAGACAGCUCCUAGCACAUAAUAGGUUAAGUUCGUUUCCACCUAUUUAGUGGUUCUUGGUCUUUAUUCCAUUUCAGAUUCAGAUCUGCACUGCUUACUCAAUAGCCAGUUCCCAGGUAUUUUUAAAUUCUUGUUGCUUCCUCACCAGUGUUUUGUUUUGUUUGUAAAUAUGUUCCAGUUACUUUCCACUCCUUUUCCAACCGAUGGGGUAAUGUACUUAGGCAUUCAGAAAUCUACAGUUGCUUACUCUUACGAUGAUUACACAUGUAAACUUGCUGACCUAAGAGGGGGAGUGGGUGAUGAGAUUUAACAACAGACGAGUUGCUACAAUAUACAAAUCUCUAUGAUUGGCAGUUUACUGUGAGUACUGAGACUCCCGCCUUUUUUAAUAGUCUUGCCUCCUUAAGGGAUCCUAACAGUACAAUGAGAUGAAAAUAUUUAAUAGUAUAGACAAAGAAGCUACCUAUGUUCUCAGAACGCUUGUAAUUCUCUCUUAACUCACAAAAACUCAUUUUAAUUAUUUAUUAUGCCUUCUCUUUCUCAAUUUCCCCCAAGAUGGUAACACAACUAAUUACAUCUCAUCAGUUACUUUUGCAGUAUAUUAAUUCUACUCUGGUUCAACAAUAUCUCAACAACACAAAAAUGAGUGUAUUACCUAGAAGAGUAAGAAUGUAACUCUGUGCACCCAAGUUUUUGCACUGACUUUAUAUAUAAUUUGAAAGUUGUUGUCAUUUAAUGAGCUCCAUUGUUAAAUUAUGAUAAACUACUGUUGUUGCUAACUUUAGUUCUUCUGGAAUAGGUCAUAUUACUCUCAUUUUAUGGGAAGCUAUAGUUUACUUCCACUGGAAAAAUUCUUGAGUCUCAUUUUUCUCAUUCAUAAGAUAAUGAUAAUGGUACCUGAUUCAUUGGGCUUAUAGAAUUAAGUACAAUAAAAUAAAAGCAAUUACCCUAGUGCAUUAUUUACUAUACACUAAAUAGAUGGUAAUUUCACAUGAAUGAGAAUAUCUGAAUAAAAUCCCAU
ensembl:lncRNA